CUUUACUCUAGCUUGGCACUGAGUCGUACAUAUAUUUGUGCAGGAUAGGCGGGAGACUAUGAAAGAUGGACGCCAGUUCAUCUCGAGUCGUCGUUGAGAUACCACCCUUGUAUAUGUAUGCCUCUAACCCCUUUUUGGGGGACCGUGCUUGGUGGGGAGUUUAACUGGGGCGGUUGCCUCCUAAAACGUAACGGAGGCGCACAAAGGUAGGCUAGGUCCGGAUGGAAAUCGGACUGGUCGUGUAUUCGCACAAGCCUGCUUGACUGAGAGACCUACAAGUCGAUCAGAGACGAAAGUCGGUGAAAGUGAUCCGGCACCAACAUGUGGGAGUGGUGUCGCUCAACGGAUAAAAGUUA
rnacentral:rRNA from 1 species